AAGGUUGCGGGGGCCGGAGACGGAGGGCAGCGCACCACGCGCCCACGACGGCGGCGCACACCACAAAGAGAACAGGUCCAGCAGGGAGCUAUUGAUCGAGGAGUAUAGUAGUCCAGGCGCAGGGCAGCCCUCACGCGCGAGGUGAACAGGGCACAGGUAGCUGACGAAGCGCCACGAACGACCGUGAGUGCUGGGGCGCGCGGCGAACGGAUUCAGGGAUCGAACGCAGUGGCCGCACCUGCAGCCGCGGAGCGUCGGGGAUUGUUUCUAUAGCAGGUACGCAUUCUUUAUCUAACAGGUGUUAUGGAGGCGCAUGUCGAGCCUACGAGGAUGAACAGGAUUGGAUCUAGAAGACCUGACCGCCGGACGCAGGGCAGCGUCCCAUGCGCCCGGUACGGCGGCGCACACCAGGAGGACAGGUUCACAAACGAGCUAGAUGGAGAAGGAGCCGGGAGAGCAGGCCCUAGCACCUCGACUACAUACACACGGAAGAAGGUAAGGUUCGUCGAGGUAUGCAGGACCAAGACGGAGGGCAGCGGCUCGCUGCGCCAGCGUCAAGCCACCAGGUAACCAUCGAGCAAAACAGGUUCCAAUAUCAAGACGAACAGGUUCAUGGCGCCCCCAAGGCGAGUAGGUCCAGGGACAUCAAGGCUAUGUGGCCGCCUUGACCGCGGCCACGCCCACGACGACACGCGCUCGUCCAAGCCUCCAAGGUAAGUAAAGAUCACUCUAUCUUUCUCUCUUCCUCAUCUACGUAGAUGCCAUGGAGCUUAACAAUCUCAUGAUUGCCGUUCGGGCCGUCUACCACAUUCUGGUGCCCGCCUGAUGCGGGGCGCCAUCUUCAUCAACAACCCGUCGACAUGCGCCUGAAUGCCAUCGUGCGUGAUGUUGUGAAUGUGGGCGACGUCUACAUAGUGCCCGCUCCACGCGGAGCGCUACCUCGAUGAACAGGAUGAGCUGGCUCACUGUGAAGUCAUAUGUGAUGUGUAACAUUGGCAAGUGUUUUAAAUGAAACAUUGAUGUGGAUACUUUGGAUAAUAUGGAUAUUUAAGUGAUGACAUGUAUCUUGUUUGGACUUAGUGCUUUGCUAGUGGUGUGUUGAUCCAUUAGUUUCUUAUGUGAAAACAUGGCGUGAGUUGUGUGAAACUUACCCUAAGUCAAGUCGUGGACUUGUGCUCGUACUGGUUAUUUGUGUGUUCGCUUUCAGGUGUUGCCGGAGCUAGAAGAACGUGGUCGAUGACGGGAUCAAGAGACGAAGCUUGGGAGAAGCUGAGGUCGAGGAUCAAGGUCAUGCGGGACGUUCGUGCGAAGGAACAAUGGAAGUGAAGGCUACGAUGAUCCGGGAGGGCACCGGUUUGUCGUAUGUUGUUUAUACCGGAGAUGUACGGUAUUGGAAAUAUUCGAUACGUGAUGGUCGAGUUUUGAAGACAUCACAAGAAGAGUUGAUGGCAUGAAGUGACAUCGAGGCGAAGAUAUGUAGGUCCAGCCGUGGCUAGAUGAGAUCUGUUUAAAGAUUAAACAGUAGCAUCAUCAAGAUGGCGUCGGAUGGAAAAGUGGUCUACAUUAAAGUUGUGCGCGUCGUCGAGACGAACAAGUUUUCUUUUGGAGUCAUCUCAAUCCGAGGUCGUAUGCGGGCCCCACGGGCAAAAUACUGACCGGGACAGAGGAGUCCGUGUUGGACUCGGAUUCGGUUUAGGGUUGCAAAUUUUCCCUUAUAAAUAGAGGGCAUCCUAACUAGGGUUUUAGCAAGGACGUGAGGGAACUCAGAGCUUUGGAUGUAGAUCAAUUCUUGGAGAGUUCUUGGAUGCAUGGUUGCAUCUUUUGUAAUCGAUCGACAUCGUUGCAAUAAAGAAAUUCGUUGGCGGUGUCA
rnacentral:lncRNA from 1 species